CCCCAACUAGCUUUGUCGGUAAAGCAUGAGACUCAUAACCUCAAGGUAGUGGGUUCAUGUCCCAUGUUGGGUG
rfam:Lepisosteus oculatus linkage group LG1, whole genome shotgun sequence.